rnacentral:misc_RNA from 1 species
UCAAAACAGCGGCCUUCGGUCCUCUGCUGCACCCUUGUCUUUUGCGCACCGUAAUUGUUUCCUCGGCGGGCUUGCCUGCCGGUUGGACAUCAUAAAACCCUUUUGUAGUUGCAAUCAGCGUCAGAAAAAUCAUAAUUAUUA